AAAUUAAUUAAUAACUCAGAGAAAAAAUCACCCAAGUCACUCAACAAAACGCACAAAGUUGGGUAGAUCUUCUUCGUUUACAAAGUAGUGAUUCGCUAAAGUAAAUCGUCCAAUUAUUCAAAGAAGAAAAAAAAAUCACUGAACUCACUCAACAAAAUGCACAUACAACAGCUAGCGAAUGUGUUGAUGCAUUGACAAGUAUACAGACUGAUAAAAUAUAUCCAUAUUCACUUAACCAUAUCUAAUAAAG
rnacentral:lncRNA from 1 species